rnacentral:sRNA from 2 species
UGCUAUGGAUAACCUAGCGGUCAUAGUGCUAUCUCAUCAAAAGGAGCUGGAAUGGAGAUUCAGGGCGAAAAGGUUUUAAUUUAUUGAUAAUGCAUUGCAUUGAUGCAUAAUUUCCCACUUUGUUUUCUACUACUCAUUAGUGGUCAAUGACAUUUCAGUAUUCUCGUUUAAUAUCUACGCAGGAGAUUAUAUUCUCCUUCUCCAGUGCAUACCAUAACGAUCUAUGCAUUACUUUGCUAGUGGCAUAUUUUAGCAUCAACCUUAAUUAAUCACCCCUGGACGCUAAAAUGAUUUAGGGUUAAACUUCCGCUUCGCUCCAUUAGAUUCAAUCACUCACACCGAAGAGUGAGAGCUUGAGAAACAGAGAAAACACUCUCAAAGAAUAUACACGGCU